rnacentral:misc_RNA from 1 species
AUUUGGACAUUUAUCUUUGUUCUGCUUUAUUUGCUGUCUUAAUAUCAUUCUUCAUUUUAUUUAAAAAUUUCUCCUCAGAAGCUGUUGGAGAAACAGAAUCUGUUUAAGUCAUGUUGUUUGCUACUGAUUUUAGGGGAAACCCCUUAAAAUGUGAACUUGUGGUUUCCAUCUAAUGGUAUUAAUCCUUUCUCAGUAAUACACGCCAUUAUAGUUUUGCUGCUGUCCUGGCCUUUAAUUUAGAAACAGUUUGACUUGCACUUUCUUUCUGGUGACAUUAUUGUUUAGGCUGCAUUGUCAUGUUAGCUUGCAAAAUUCUUUUGAUGCAAUGGUAUGUUAGGCCCGUCUCUGGGCUGAGCAACAAGUUCAAUUAAUUAGUUGAUCGAAAUAUGAUCAAGUUUUGUGUUCUUUAGUUUACUUAUUUUGCUUGCCCUUUAGAAACUUUUUAUCAGACGACAAAUCUUAAUGCAAUUGUAGGGUUAUGAAGCCUUUUGAGUUUUCUUGUUAUGAUUUGGAUGAUAUGGCUCUGUUUUUUCUUCAGUACUUCUGAAUAUUUGAACUCAAAGUAGAUUUGUGGCUUGCAUUAGAUGAGAGUUUAAUUGAUCAUCCAUUUGCACCUUGAUCUCAUUACUAGUGGAUGAAUUGCUUGAAUGGGUGGCUACAAUUUAUAUCCUUAAUUUUCUGGUUUCA